GGUGUGUGUGUGGGUGUGUGUGGUAUUGGCUCAUGCAGUUAUGGAGGCUGACAAGUCCUAAGACCUACAGUCAGCAAACUGGAGACCCGGGAGAGCUGAUGGGGUAAGUUCCAGUCCGAGUCUGAGUUGGAAGGUAGGAGAAGAUGGAUGUCCCAGCUCAAAGACAGUCGGGCAGAGAGAGAGACAAAUCUUUUUCACUCAGUUUUUUGUUCUAUUCGGGCCCGCAGUGGAUUGGUUGGGGUCCACCCACAUUGGGGAGGGCAGUUUGCUGUCCUCAGAUCACAAUUCACAUGUUAAGCUCAUCCGCAAACACCUUCACAGAUACACCCAGAAUAACAUUUGACCAAAUGUCUGGGUACUCUUGGUCCCAGGCAAGUGGACACAUAAAAAUAACCCUCAUACUCCCAGUACCCAAGACAGCCUGACACAGAGCAGGAGCUCAGUCCACAUUUAUUGAAUGAAUGAAUGAAUGAAUGAUGGGGGUGGAGAGACUUGACUUUGACAUGGGAUCCCCCCUGUAUGGCUGAAGCCACUCUUGCUUCAAAUCCACACAAACCCCACCUCCUUCUCUGGGGCAUCUUCUCUGCAUCUCCCCCUCCUGGGUGCACCUGACCUCUCUGACCUUGGGCCUCACAGAGCCCUGGGUCACGUUGUCUCUGUUGGGACCCUCCAGGUUGUCCCCAGGGAUGGCAUCCCCGGGGAGGACCCCUCCCCCCGUGGUAGAUGUCCUCGGGGGCAGCAUCUGGAUUCCAUUCACCUCCACAUCCUGAACAUGCAAAUGGCAGAUGCCCCCUCCUUGCCCCACUCAACAUAAAGGAUUCAUGGAGUAGAUGCGCUUUUUUUGCGGUACGCGGGCCUCUCACCGCCAUAGCCUCUCCCCUUGCAGAGCACAGGCUCCGGACGCGCAGGCUCAGCAGCCAUGGCUCAUGGGCCCAGCCGCUCCGCGGCAUGUGGGAUCUUCCCGGACCAGGGCACGAACCCGCGUCCCCUGCAUUGGCAGGCGGACUCUCAACCACUGCGCCACCAGGGAAGCGCCUGAGUAGAUGCUUUGAAGGAUCUUCUAACCCUCAAAAGGGCUCCCCAUUCCUCAUAGGGUGCCUGGAAUCCCCUGGAGCAUCAGUCUGAACAUACGUGUGGUGUCCUCAGAAGACCCCCAGGGAAGAUGUAGAGGGUCCACGUUGCCAGCCCCUGGGAAUCAUGAGUAUGUGGACGGAGCACAGGCAAGACAGCAUUGCGCAUGUGCAAAAUGGGAACGCAUGUCUCCAGGAUGACCCCGGAACCAGGAAUCUUCAGCUGACGGAACUUAAAGAAUAGAAAUGUUGCCAGCGGAGCCCUUUACGAAAGGAGAAGUCCUUCAAUCAGGAGACUCUGGCUUCCAGCAGUAGCUUAUUUGGACUGAUUCGAGACUAGCCAAUCAGCUUCCAAGUCUGAAGUUCCCUUAAGCCGUUAAAUUUCACCCAGAAGCCUGGAUUGAGGAGAGAGAUUUGAGCUCUGCUUCCUGUUUCCUUGCAGGUCGACCUCGCAGUGAAGCUUUCUUUCCUCAAAAGCUGGUGUCAUAGUAUCAGCUCCUACGUGCAUCAGGCAGCCAGCACUUGCUGGGUAACAGAGGUAUCUUCUAUAAAGACCUUCAAGUGACAUCUUGCAUACAGAUCUUAGUUCCCCAGUGAGGGAUCGAACCUAUGCCCCCUGCAGUGGAAGCGUGGAGUCUUAACCACUGGGCUGCCAGGGAAGAACCCUGUAUUUGGUUUUGAUUGCCCAGCGUCAAGAAAAUUUGGAAUCAUAGCCAGGAGCUCUUAUUAUUCUGCCAUGUUCCUGCUUGUCGGAGCACCUGUGUGCUGCCUUGAGCUGAGAGCUCUGAACGAAACCUCGCCUGCUGCGUCGGAUUCACUGACAAACCUCCCGAGGUGGCAGGGGUUUUGAUUGUCGCUGUCCCUCGCCUUGCACCUGGCCUGGGUCCACCAAGCAUUCUCCCCACCUGUUCACGCCCAGGUCCACACAGCAGGUCGCCUGGGCAACCCACCCAGACGUCACUGGAAGCUCUGGCGGCUGGCCCAGGAGCUGAAGCAGCUGGUGGCUGGAUCACGUUUCCAGGGAUCCUGAGAUCUUUCCUGGAAAGCUGCCUCCCCAACUUGCUGUGUGAUGCACACAUGGCAACUGAGGGAAAUGUCCCUCCCAGGGCUCAAUUUCUCCAGCUGUAAAAUGGGACUGCUAAAUGGGCCAACCCGCGGGCUAUCAGACAGAACAAAUGAGAACCUAUUAAGCUGCUUAGAAAGUAAAAGGCAAGGUGCGUAUAGUUUGAUGGAGUCAAAAUUUGGACCCCAAAGAAAAAAGCAGGGCAAAUAA